GAAAUGCGAUAAGUAAUGUGAAUUGCAGAUUCCGUGAAUCAUCAAAUCUUUGAACGCAACUUGCACUCUGCGGUUCGCCGUAAGAGUAUGCCUGUUUGAGCAUCAGCAACACCCUCUCACCCAAGACUUUGUGUUUUGGACUUACAGUGAGGAGUUGAGUGUCUUUCUUGCCUUAGGCCGAACUCGGCAUAAACAACAAGAAAUCACUUGAAAUACAGAGAUGCUUGGGAAAACCGUAAACGCCCUUGGCUAAAUAACGAUGGAUUGAACAUCGCCAAUCAGCUUUGGGCAGGAUUUUCCCGAGGCUAGCUCGCCCACAAGCGCGCUACCUUGAUCUUCAAGAUCCCCUUGAAUUUGAUCUCAAAUCAGGCAAGACUACCCGCUGAACUUAA
rnacentral:misc_RNA from 1 species